rnacentral:rRNA from 1 species
CCUACGGGUGGCAGCAGUGAGGAAUAUUGGUCAAUGGACGCAAGCCUGAACCAGCCAUGCCGCGUGAAGGAAGACGGCUCUAUGAGUUGUAAACUGCUUUUGUACGGGGGUAAACGCAGAUACGCGUAUCUGUUUGAAAGUAUCUUACGAAUAAGGAUCGGCUAACUCCGUGCCAGCAGCCGCGGUAAUACGGAGGAUUCAAGCGUUAUCCGGAUUUAUUGGGUUUAAAGGGUGCGUAGGCGGUCGGAUAAGUCAGAGGUGAAAUCCCGAGGCUCAACUUCGGAAUUGCAUCUGAUACUGUUCGUCUAGAGUAUAGUUGCGGUAGGCGGAAUGUAUGGUGUAGCGGUGAAAUGCUUAGAUAUCAUGCAGAACACCGAUUGCGAAGGCAGCUUACCAAGCUACCACUGACGUUGAGGCGCGAAAGCGUGGGGAGCAAACAGGAUUAGAUACCCGAGUAGUC